rnacentral:lncRNA from 1 species
GCUACAUGUCCCUCUGCUCACUCAUCCAUGAGAUCAUGGUCUAGCUAACUAGAGGCAACAGCAAGUGAGCUCAGACCUGCAGAACUGCAAUCAGAGGAAGUGCCAGGAUGUAGUGUGCCUCCCUCCUCAAAGACACGUUCAUGCAAGGAGAUGCUUACAGGUGAGUAGGAUUUCCAAGGGCAGGGUAUCCCUUAUCUUUGUUACACUCCACGAUGUUGCUGAAAUACUUAGCUCAAAGACACUACAAUAAAAAUGCCAGAUCUACAUAACAUGGUUGGAUAGUAUUCUGCAUAAAGUCAAUUGCAGCAGUGAGAUAAAUGUGAAAUUCCUUGUAUUUGGUGAGUAAUAGAUUACUGUUCCCAAAGGUCUGAUAUAAAUAUUUAUAUACAGACCUAAAUGUUUAAAGCAGCAGCUGCCAAAGCACUUUCAUACAAGUUUAGGAAACUAAUCACUACAGUUCACGUGGUUUGUAAGUGGUGAACUGUUGUUAGACUUUGUUUCAGGAAGAAAUGUCCAUGUUCAGAUGAAAAUGAGACUUUAUCUCAACAGUAUUCUGUUUGCAUGUUGGCAUAAUUUACUGAGCCACUCAAAUUCUCGUACUUUUAACUUUAGGGAUUUAUACAAAGGAGGAAGAUUACCUACUGUUACAUGUCUGUUUUGGAGCUGCCAUAUACUUUUAGUUGCCUCAGCAACUCCAGAUUGCAACUGUCUGUAAGGACAUGGAUCCUAGUGGGCAUGGUGGAGAUGGGUUGAUGGUUGCCUGAAUGUCCAUGUUGCAUUAAUGUUUUAGUAGAGGGUAUUUAAGUAAAACCACUGUCAGAUUUUAUGUGCAAAUAUAGCAAAAGAGGGGGUUCUUGUACACUGUGCAAUUCAGCAGUACAGCAGGAUGUGGGUACAUGAUCAAGUUUAUCCUAGAACUGCUUCUUCUCGUACAGGUUUCUUUGUUCCCAACUUGCCCACAGCCUGCUUUCUCUCUUCCAGCAGACUCUUUGCUUCUGCAUUUUAUUUUGCAGGUAGAGGGUUUUUAAUCAAAUAACUGUAUUCUAGACCAUCUGACCUGUGGGUUAUACAUAUAGAUAUAUGGUAUCACUGGGAUGCUUCCUAGGAUGUUAGAAAAGGAAAAAUAUAUUCGGAGUGUCAGCAAAACUUGCUGAAGGUCACAGACAUGCAGUGAAUCAGAAUCAAAUUUUUUGCAGUUUUUUAACUGACUGAUCUGCCUGCCAGUGCCUAAUGUAAUGUCCUGCUCAGUCAGCUGCUAUUUAAGUUACUUGAAAACAAAAAUGAUGGAGAAAUGAGAAAAGAAGGUUUCCAGGAGUAUAUGUAGUUAGUAACCUGAAAUGUAAUUGUUAUUGAUCUUAAUCAAGUUUCUCUUCUUUUCUUUUCUUUUC